rnacentral:lncRNA from 1 species
UCUUCCGAUCUGGACUUUUUAGACGCUGUCUAUAGCAAAGUCUUAAGAGACGUGAAUCCGCAACCAAAUAGUUCAUCAAAGAAGGAUGAAUACGAGUCAAUACCGUUUGCCAUGAAUAAGUAUAGAACCGUUAAAAAAUUAAUUAAAAAAGCAGAUAAGAAAGUUGCCUUUAAAAGAUGCCCUACCAUCUACGAUCAACUUAGAAAUGACAAAGAUAAAAGACAGCAAGAACAAAAAACUGGGGUUUAUAGAAUUCCCACCACAGACAAUACGAAAAACAUACAAGAAGCAUAUAUUGGUGUUACUUUAGAUGUUAUAAAUGAGCUUACAAGAACACAAAAAAGACAUAGUUAAAGGUAGGCUAAGUACAGCCUUAGCGAGAAAUGCAUUCGAAGACAACAUAGAAGUAAGAUGGCCAGAAGCACGGAUAAUAAAAACACUUCCGAAAGAAAA